AGAGUUUGAUCAUGGCUCAGGAUGAACGCUAGCGGCAGGCCUAACACAUGCAAGUCGGAGGGGCAGCACGGGUGUAGCAAUACACUGGUGGCGACCGGCGCACGGGUGCGUAACGCGUAUGCAACCUACCCAUAACAGGGGGAUAACACUGAGAAAUUGGUACUAAUACCCCAUAACAUCAGGACCGGGCAUCGGUUCUGGUUGAAAACUCCGGU
rnacentral:rRNA from 1 species